GACUGAAAACAUGGCUGUUAAGAGAAGUAUGUGCUGUCGUAAGAGCCUGCAGUGAAGGAGCUGGCCUUGAUGAAGCAGCAGAACGUGAAAUGCCAAAACAGAUGGAGUUGCUUGGAUACAAGGAGAAUCUUACAGAAUACAAAUGAACUUGAAGGCAUUAGUAAUAUUUUCAAAAUAAUAGAGAAAUGACACAAAGAGUGAAAGAGGUGAAAUCUGUCUUUGAUGGGAAUAAUAUCUAAAAGGAGUAUUGUACAUAU
rnacentral:lncRNA from 1 species